CGAGAAAUCGGGACUGCCCGCAAGGGACACCAACAGAGGUGCUGCAUGGCUGUCGUCAGCUCGUGCCGUGAGGUGUUGGGUUAAGUCCCGCAACGAGCGCAACCCUUACUCUUAGUUGCCACCCGCAAGGGGGAACUCUAAGAGGACUGCUCCGGAUAACGGAGAGGAAGGUGGGGAUGACGUCAAGUCAGCAUGGCCUUUAUGUCCAGGGCUACACACGUGUUACAAUGCGCGCCACAAAGCGCUGCGAACCCGCGAGGGGGAGCUAAUCGCAAAAAAGCGCGCUCAGUUCGGAUUGCAGUCUGCAACUCGACUGCAUGAAGCCGGAAUCGCUAGUAAUGGCGUAUCAGAACGACGCCGUGAAUACGUUCCCGGGCCUUGUACACACCGCCCGUCACAUCACGAAAGCGGACUGUACUAGAAGUCGCCGAGCCAACCGCAAGGGGGCAAGCGCCCAAGGUAUGGUCCGUGAUUGGGGUGAAGUCGUAACAAGGUAAGCGUAGAUGA
rnacentral:rRNA from 1 species